GUUCCGUAGGUGAACCUGCGGAAGGAUCAUUCAUAAUAAGUGUUUUAUGGCACUUUUUUAAAUCCAUAUCCACCUUGUGUGCAAUGUCAGGGUUGAUUUUUCUCUCGAGAGGAUCAGCACCAAACAUCAACUAUAUCUCAACUCUUUGUCUGAAAAUAUUAUGAAUAAAACAAUUCAAAAUACAACUUUCAACAACGGAUCUCUUGGCUCUC
rnacentral:misc_RNA from 1 species